ACGAUUAUGGAUCAUUUACGAUAAAACUACUGUAUUCAUCAUUUCAAAAAGCUAUCGAACCUUGAAAUCUUGGCUGAUCAAGUUGAUAUAUGUGUUACUUUUAUAUCAGAAUUAACAUUCUCAGUAAAUAUUUCCGAGAAAA